rnacentral:rRNA from 1 species
UACGUAGGUGACCAGCGUUGUCCGGAUUUACUGGGCGUAAAGAGCGCGCAGGCGGUCGUUCAAGUCGAGUGUGAAAGCCCCCCGGCUCAACUGGGGAGGGUCAUUCGAUACUGAUCGACUGGAAGGCAGGAGAGGGAAGCGGAAUUCCCGGUGUAGUGGUGAAAUGCGCAGAUAUCAGGAGGAACACCAAUAGCGAAGGCAGCUCGCUGGGACGUUACUGACACUGAGGCGCGAAAGCGUGGGGAGCGAACAGG